GUGUCAGCAGCCGCGGUAAUACAGAGGGUGCGAGCGUUAAUCGGAAUUACUGGGCGUAAAGGGUGUGUAGGUGGUUCAAGUAAGUCAGGUGUAAAAACCCCGGGCUCAACCUGGGAAUGUCGCUUGAAACUGCUUAGCUAGAGUACUAUAGAGGAUAGUGGAAUUUCCAGUGUAGCGGUGAAAUGCGUAGAUAUUGGAAGGAACACCAGUGGCGAAGGCGACUAUCUGGAUAGAUACUGACACUGAAACACGAAAGCAUGGGUAGCAAACAGGAUUAGAUACCCUGGUAGUCC
rnacentral:rRNA from 1 species